UUUUGAUUUUUUAUACGACCGCAAAAUUUGAAAAAUUUUUCGUCGUAUAUUGCUAUCACGUUGGCGUCGUCGUCGUCGUCGUCGUCGUCGUCGUCCGAAUACUUUUAGUUUUAGCACUCUAACUUUAGUAAAAGUGAAUGGAAAUCUAUGAAAUUUUAAAACAAGGUUUAUGACCACAAAAGGAAGGUUGGUAUUGAUUUUGGGAGUUUUGGUCCCAACAUUUUAGGAAUUAGGGGCCAAAAAGGGCUCAAAUAAGCAUUUUCUUG
rnacentral:lncRNA from 1 species